AUGGAGGGGAUAGAUCAUACGAUUGUGAGAGCCAAUGGCAUCAAAAUGCACAGAGCAGAAAAAGGACAAGGCCUAGUAGUACUAUUCCUCCAUGGCUUCCCUGAGCUUUGGUACUCCUGGCGCCGCCAGAUUCAUGCUUUGAGCUCACUUGGAUACCAUGCUGUUGCACCAGAUCUCCAGGGCUUCAGUGACACUGAAGCACCAACUUCCAUCACCAGCUACCCCUGUGAUCACAUUGUCAAUGACCUUGUUGCUCUCAUUGACUCUCUGGGUGUGGAGCAAGUGUUUCUUGUGGCACAUGAUUGGGGAGCCAUCAUGGGUUGGUACUUGUGCUUGUUUAAGCCCGAAAGAGUGAAGGCAUUUGUGUGACUUAGUGUUCCACAGAUGAUUCCAAUGGAUAGAAUGCGAGGUUUCUUUGGAGAUGACUACUAUAUAUGCAGAUUUCAUGUUCUUGUUUUGUUAACAUAACCGGAGUUGGCUUCUUGUAUGCUUAAAUGAUCAUGUUUUAGUAUAAAAUCUUAUUUGUUUAAUCCCAUUUACCUCUUCGGUACCUAGUUUCUAUGAAACAGCUGAAACAGUUUGGCAAGCAUGCUUGUUUGAUUCGAGCAAAGGCUCUCUAAGUCACAUUAUAAUUAUUUGCUUUGCUAUGAUUCUUGCUCAAGAUUUUUAGGCUUAGACUUUAGUACACGUUACAUUCCAAGUUACAAGAGGCUAAUCUUGGACUCUGAAAAUUGAAAACCAAAACUUGGUAACUAAUAUCUUAUAUCGCCACCCAAUUUUACUUUGAUAUGUCCAUAUGUGUUGCAGGCACCAGGAGAAAUUGAAGCUGAGAUUGCCGAAUUAGUUACAGCAAAUGUACUCAAGACCAUUUUCUCAAUUCGAAAACCAGGUCCACCCUGCUUCCCUAAAGGAAAUGCGUUUGGAAUCUGUACCAAUGCUUCAAUUUCCUUGCCCUCUUGGCUUUCAGAAUAAGAGCUUACUUAUUAUGUCACAAAAUUUGACCAGAAAGGCUUCACUGGAGGAUUGAACUACUACCAAGCAAUUGACCAGUAUGUUACAAACUUUAAUGAAAAUUUUUCAAAAUCUAAAUAUCAAAACAUUUCUUAUGCUUAAGACUUGAUAUUUAACAAAUUCUAGGUGCCCAUUUCAAGUUUAAGGUUUUAAUUCUUAAAUCCAACUAUGUAUAGAGAGUCAUGUUUUUUAAAAUGACUAUAUCUUAGAUUUGUAAUAUUUAAUAUGAAACAUGAGAUUUAUUCAUUUCAAAUGGAGUUGAUCCUCUUCCAAGACGCUGACCCAGCUCGUUUUUAAUCAACAAAAGAACCAAAAUCUUGGGCUCACAUCAAAUAUAAGCAUGAAAACUUAAAUCUUGGCCUUCCUUAACAUCAAAUGUCCCACUACUUUGAUAUUCAUAAAACAAAUUAUUGCAGAAACUGGGAGGUCACAGAAAAAUGGACCGAAGUGCAAGUGAAGGUACCUGUGAAGUUCAUAGUGGGGGAUUUGGACAUGGUGUACACCACCCUGGGGACAAAGGAAUACAUACACAAUGGUGAUUUCAAGAAAGAUGUGCCAUUUUUGGAGGAAGCUGUUGUGAUGGAAGGGUCACUUCAUCAACCAAGAAAGAGUAGAGGAAAUCAGUUCUCACAUCUAUGA
rnacentral:sRNA from 1 species